rnacentral:lncRNA from 1 species
AACCCUUCAAUAAAUGUAUCCAGAAGUUAUCGGUCCGACCAAUCUCUAGCUUGCAAAUGAGAUUGCAACUAUCAUAGUGCGGGGGUGCGUGGCUGCCGCUUGUUCUUCCUCUCUUCGUUUCCUUUCUUUUUUUUUUCUUUUUUUUUUUUAUAACUAUGACAGCGUUACAGCGAGAAUGCCAAGGAUCGCUGCUCUGAUGCCGGCUUCGCCUCUGGAACCAGGGGAUGCAGGGGAAGAAGGGAAGUGAUCAAGGAGGGCCGAUCCCCUCGAAGCGAUCAAGGAGGCCGAUCCCCUCGAAGUGAUCAUCCCCUUUCUCUUCUUUUUACGAUAAGACUUUAGGGUCUUAUCAUUUGGUAUCAGAGCAGCGAUCCUCGACGUUCUCACUAUAGUUCGUCAUUUC